rnacentral:rRNA from 1 species
GAUGAACGCUGGCGGCGUGCCUAAUACAUGCAAGUCGAGCGAACAGACGAGGAGCUUGCUCCUCUGACGUUAGCGGCGGACGGGUGAGUAACACGUGGAUAACCUCCCUAUCAGACUGGGAUAACUUCUGGCACCCGGAGCUAAUACCGGAUAAUAUAAUGAACCGCAUGGUUCAAUAGUGAAAGACGGUUUUGCUGUCACUUAUAGAUGGAUCCACGCCGCAUUAGCUAGUUGGUAAGGUAACGGCUUACCACGGCAACGAUGCGUAGCCGACCUGAGAGGGUGAUCGGCCACACUGGAACUGAGACACGGGCCAGACUCCGACGGGAGGCAGCAGUAGGGAAUCUUCCGCAAUGGGCGAAAGCUUGACGGAGCAACGCCGCGUGAGUGAUGAGGGUCUUCGGAUCGGAAGACUCUGUUAUUAGGGAAGAACAAAUGUGUAAGUAACUAUGCACGUCUUGACGGUACCUAAUCAGAAAGCCACGGCUAACUACGUG